rnacentral:sRNA from 1 species
CAAAACUCUUAUCAAAUACCUAAAUUAAUCAUAAUAUCUGUCUGUCUGUCGCACCAAAUUGCUCUCUGUUAGGAAUUAGGGUUUUGGUCAAGGCGGCGUUGGGCGGUUUCCGAUCUCCCUGAUUGUUCUCUUGCCGUAGGUACCCCAUCUGCUCUGCUCUGUGCUUCACAGGGCACAGUAGCACAAAUUGUUGUUAGUGUUCAAGUUCCAUUCUAAGAAAUAUUCUAAUAGGCUUAAAGUUGAGGCGGAAGGAUGCCUCGUGACUUGGCACGGUCACAAUCACGAUCACCUUCUUAUAGGCGAAGGCGUUCGCCAUCUCCAGUGGGGCAUCGGUCUAGCAGGAGAAGCCGCAGAGACAGAAGCCGGUCUCCAUAUUCUUCGUAUUCUCAUAGCAGGUGAUCCCGUUAAUAUUCCCCCUUUCUUGUGCUAAUUUAACUGAUUCUCAAUCAAUUUUUGGAAAGAUUGAGGCGUUACAUAUCGCUCAUGGGAUUUGGAUUUACAUAAUGUUCGAGUUUCUGUACGCAUCUUCUUAUCCUUCUUUUUAGAUCUGGUGGUACAUUUUCCAAUCAUGAAGUCUUUUUACCUGGUACCUACUAUGUUGAUGUUGGUGUCACAGCUAAAUGGGGCAUUCUCAUGAAAUAUCGCUUUGAGUUGAAAUUCUGUAUGCUAAUUGCUAAUAUUUGACUUUUUUGCUUCAAACCUUCAAGUGGACAGGAAUUGGUAGUUCCAUUGCCUAAAUUUGGUAUGCUUUGACAUUUGAUGUUCUGAGUUUGCUUUUCCGAUCUUCAACUACAGUUGUGGUUUGUACACCUUAGGCUUUGUUGCUGUCAUGCCAAUGCCAAAGAAUUGCUGAUGUUGUUAUAAAAUCUGAUGAUUGGCUUAGUUUCGAUAUAACAUUGAUGGACAUGUGACCUAUGGAAUAUUUUUUUUUUUAAUUUUUUUUAAUUUUUUUUUAUCUUUCUAAAUAAUUGGAUAAGAGUCUAGUAAGAAGAUAUGGAUUAAAAUAUGGAGUUUCCAGAGUGAUAUAAGGUUGCAUGCUCUUCCUAAGAAUUUAAAAGAAUUCAGAUUCUUCCCGUCAAAAGGGAAGUGAGCAGGUGAUGGUUGUCGUUGGCUGUUCUUUUGUUGCUCGAUUGUGACCUUUGCUUCUUCAUGUGAUAAAAGAUGGAGCACACAAAGGUUAUACUUAACAAUGUAUGAGGUAACCGUACAUGUUUCUAUAUACUUUGUGCUACAUGGUGGACUGACUUGAUAGUUAUUGAUUAUGUGUAGUCAUGUGCAAUUUUAAUUGUCGUUGCUAAUUGGUAUGUUUUUACUAUACAGACGGAAAAGUCGUUCAAUUACCCCUAAGCGUCGAAGAAGUCGUUUCGUCCGUAAAAGUCGUUCUCCAAGACCAAGACGAAGUCGUUCUCGUCGUAAAGUCGUAAAAGUCGUAAAAGUCGUUCUCCAGUAUUGAGGCGUUAUAAGAGGCAAAGAAGUAGGAGCUCCUCCUUGUCUCCUAUUCGUAAAUCUUCUAGUUCAAGUCUUGGAUUGUUGGACCAGAAAAAUGCUACUGAGAAAUUGAGAAAGGAAGAAGAAGAAGAGAAGAAAAGGUAUAACAAUUAUGGAACAUCAAUUGUUUUAUGAUAUAAUUUUUCUUUUUAACCUUUUUCUAAGCUCAUCUUUUAGAGUAGACUGACAGUUUUAACUCUUUGCCUGAGUUUUGCGCUAAGAUGUAAUGUGGGAUUGUUUUCAUUGCUACCCUCAAAUUUAAGAGUAGUGAUUUCUACAUGAAUAGUAGCUCUCCUGAAAGUUAAUGUAGUAUUUUUGGAUGCUUACUGUUGUGUUUUGUUCAUUAAAACCGUAGCGUAAUUAGUUUUAGGGAAAGAACCUCCUGUUGAUGUUUGAAUUAGCCUAGCCUAACUUUGUGGCACAUGCUUGUUUGUUAACAUUUCAGUUUUAUAUGGUACUUUCUCUGACAAUUAAAUUAAGGAUGGCUGCUGUUUACUUAUUCAUAAUUGAGAUGCACUAAUUAUUUGUUUAUUUCAGAAGUCAAUAAUACGAAAUUUAGUUAGACUCCAGAUUGUACGCAGCUGAUCCCAGAUACAUCUAUUCUGAUUCUAAGUAUUGUUAAUCUUCUUAUGACGGUAAGUAAUGCAGUCAAGCACCUUUUAAGGAUCAUCGGGGGUGGGUUGAGUACAAUGGGGCUGAGGAGGUCUGGUUAUGUGAAAACUAGUCAAUAAGAUCUGUACAGAAUUUAGUGGUUUAUCAAGAAUAAAUGCACUCUAACUUAAAUUUUAAAGCACAGUGUCCUGUCAACACAUGAUACUUUUCUUCACAUUCAUAAAUCAGUGGCUCUCCUCACAUCCACAAAUUAUUGGUCACAGCUGAUUUACUUUCCGUUACUCGUUCAGACAUAUGCUUCUACAGGACACGAUCAUCUUCCUGCAUAAGUUCAUUAUUGGAGUAUUCGGAGAUAUCUAGUCUGUCCAUUUGGUGUACGAGACCAACCAUAUGGUAGACCUAAGUGUUUGGAGAUUCUUUAGAAGUACCUGUUGUGCCUAACCUAAGAAGCUGAGCCAUGCAACAGUUGGGUAGACUGAAAAGUCCUGGUUAACUUUUGUUUACCAAAUCAUUUAGGCCUCGUUAAGGAGGACUAACUUGGAUAGGACUAUUCACUACAUUGAAGGCAUUUUGAAGGAAAAAAUGGAUGAGAACUUUCAUAUAUUGUCCAAGUUGAAGGUUUCUAUCCCUACCAGUCCCCACAAAAAUGGUAGGAUUGUAAGGGACACUUUUCUUCAUGAGUUAUCUUCAACUUGGACAAAAUAGGGAAGUUGUCAUCCAUUUCUCCCUUCAAAAUGCCUGCAAUAUAGUGUCUAGUCCUAUCCACGCUAAUCCUCUCUAUCAAACGAGGCCUUAGUAAACUUGUUCCUUAAGAUUUGGACUUUGUUGGCUUCUGAUUGUACUCCAUUCUGCCACGUGGCAACCGUAUGUCUCCAUCAGUGUUGAACUGCCGUUUCUGACAUGUGAAUGUUUUUCAAUGUCUCGUCAUUUAGUGUUUAUCACACUCAAGACACACUGCUUAGGCCAUAUAUAUAGAACUGUAGUCAUAUCAUGUCAAGAAUGCAUUUAGUUUAAAUUUGAAGUAACACGAUAAUUAGUUUUAA